CCCAGAUGCUGAGAGGCAGUCGGGGAACAGUACCUGGUCAGGGACACCACCUCCAAGGGCCUGGGACUGGAGACCUCUGUCUACCCAUCUGCCAGUGGUUCUCUCUUCCAGCCACUCAGUCCUAUAAGGAGCAGGCCAAUGCCCCAGGCAGCAAGAAUGGCAUGUGCAAAGGCCCCGGGGCACAGAGCAGCCUGGUGGACUCCUGGAUGGAAAGAGAUGCCCUUCUGGCCUCGAUUCUGGAACCCAACCUCCAGUCGUCAGGCUUUCUGGACAAGCAUUUUCUCCUGCUGAGCUAGCGUUCUUUCUGUCAACUUUGGCGGUUGUAGGAGUGAGAAGGCCAAGUCCCACCUGGAACACACAGCGCUGUGGCAGAAAUGACCUACCUUGAAAAGUGCUUUCACUUUGUUCUGUGUCUUUUGGAGAGAGCUUCACUACAGAGUCCAGGUUGCCCUUGAACCCUCCAUCCUCCCAAGUGCGAAGGUCGCAGGGUAGAGAGCCAUUGCAUGCCUGGCUUCCUAACGUGUUUAAAACAGCCCCAUCUUGCGG